UACUAGAAGAUGCUAAAGAGUGUUUCUAAUGCUUGUUGCUUCAUGUUUUUAUCUGUCCUACAGCACAAAAGUGAUGCACUUAUCAUUAUCUUAGUAGUACUGGGGAUUGUGUUCGACAUUGUUGUGUUUGCCAUCUGCUGCUGCUGCCCCUGCUGCUGUAUCUAUAAAAUGUGCAGAAGACCCAGACGAACGCAAGUUGUCACAGUUGUCACGAGGACGUAAGAUGUGCCCAUUUUGAUUAUACAAGACUAUUGGACGUUCUAUAGUCUUUUGGAGUUUUUAGAGUUUAUUACUUUCGCUUUCUUUCAGUUUAGUUUUCACUCUGUGACACACUGGAAAAAUGCUUUUAUUAACUAUAAAUAAAACAAAGAUUACUAUAGUUACUAUAGAUUACUAAGUUCUAGAAGAAAAUAGCAUUUCAGUCUUUCUACUUUCUACAAGCAAGGAGUCAAAAUCUUUUUUUAAAUGUAGCUUUAGUUUUUGUUAGUAUACUUUCAGUAUAUUAUUCUACUUUAGUACUAAACUGUUGAUAUGUAAAGGUGCUAAAAAAAAAAUGUUUUUUUAAAAUGUCAGCAGUUUUUGCAUUUUGAGUUUUUUUCUUUCGAGGGUCUUAAAUGAAACCGCAUUUGAAUAAUGCAUGUAACAAAAAGUCCCACUGACUUUCUGUAGCAAGUUUAAAUGUACUCGCUUUUAAGCACAGAAUGGCUGUCAAGGUAGAAAAAAGGGUUCAUUUUUUUGAUAAAGCAACCUUUGUUAGAGCAUUAUGAAUAAGCAUUCGCAGUUCCUUUCCAGACUGUAUUAUAUUGUUUCAGGUGACGUUUUUUGAGAUGAAGCCUAUGUUUUAUGUGUGUUUUUUUUUUUUUUUAAAGAGGGAAAAAGGAAACAUCAAAGAUGUCAAACUCAACAAAGUCGCCCAAACUUGCUAAAGAGUUUGGACUGACUGUUAUGCAGUGUUUGGUGAACUUGCGGCACUGAUGUAUAUGUAUAUAUAUGGGGCCCCCUACUGGUGAAAUAAUAAAAAAAAAAACUCUAGCGUUUGUAUCGUUACUAAUCAUCCUUUAUAUAUUUUAUUCUUAUUAUUUAUGUAUUUAAAUAUUUUUAAAUUCUAUACUCCUAUUUUUAUAGAUUAGUAGAGAUAGGUUAUGUUUGUUUUAAAUAUGAUCCCAGAAGUCACAUUUUACUAUAGUAAUUUGAUAUACCUUAGUACUGAAUGAUUACCAUAUUAAUUUACCAUGGUAUUGAUACUCCAACCCUUACGAAAAUGAACCAAGGUGUUAUUAUAGUAAAAAUGUAGUAACAAUGUUUUGUGGCGUAUUGGCUACCGUUUGUACAACCACAGGUUUACUACAAAUACUAUAGCAUGGUUAGUGUAGUGUAGUGGUUAGUUAAUUUUUGGUUUUGUAGUAAAACCAUGGUUAAUUUUCGUAGGGAAAGUAAUCCAAAGUUCAAAACGCUAGACAUAAACAUCAACCUUCUUGCAUCCACUUGUUACGUUUACUAUGAGGAAAACUAGCCUGUGUUGAAGUUGUGGAGAAUUUUAUGUAGGGCAAUAGCGUUUUUACGAUUUAUAAUUCACACUAAAACAUUUCUAAAUAUUAAGUUGUAGUUUUUCCCUACUUAACUGUUAAAUUUAUAUUUUAAUUGUAUGUUAAAAUAUACCUUUUCAAAUUCACAGGGUAUGGCAGUCCGUUUUAGCUUAAAAUAUUCUAAGCGUUACUCGUCGUAAUUGCAUUUUUACUAGUUAGAAUUGAAUUAGAGAGCUCUACAAUAGCGAUUCUUACUAGUAAGAAUUGUAUUGUAGAGCUCUCUAUUCAACACAACCUCAUUAUGAUAAUUGCGCCUCAUGCAUAUUCAUAACAUGGGUGAAUGCCUGUCUCGAUAGGCUCCUGGGCAGUCCAUCGCUAUAUAACGCCCUUGCAUUAUGGGUGUCCUGAGUUCGAGUUGUAGCAAAGAGUACAGAAUACCAAGAGGCGAAAUUCUGAUGCUUUUUUGGUAAGAGCCACUAGGUGGCGCUUCGGUAGCACAGCCGCCAUUUCGGAGUGAAAAUGCCAACUGGACAACAUCACAGAAGCAGACAGAAUGACAACGAAAGAGAAGUCAAAGUGGAAAUAAACGAGCUCAAUGACUGCAGGGAAGUAGUGUGUGACACGAAAAAGUGCAAAAAGUCACUAUACAUGGUUAGAUUUUUUUUUUUUUACGGAUCAGAAUCCAUCACAUCUCACGCCAAAGAUUGGCGAAUCUCACAGCCAAAUCUGAAGCGCAAUAGAAAAUUUCUUAAAUCAGUAAAUUUUAUGACUACUACAGUAAAUGUUAUAUUGUAUUAUUAUAUAUGUUUUAUGUUAUCAGUUCUGGAAUCCGACCAUUAAUUAUACAUUUGAGGCAGUUUUAGCCUUCUUUGAGUAUUUUUAUUUUAUGCAACGUUACACAUUACUAUUAUUAUUAGUUACUAUUAUAGGUCUGAAAUAUAUAUUGUUUUUAUAUUAUAUCCUAUUAUAUUGUAGGCUACGUUUUAAUUCCCUGGAACACACUACAAACAUGAUGAUCUUACAGAACAUGAUGCAUAGCUGUGUUUGUCAUAACUGAAUAAAUAAUUGUGGAGACAGUUGCUAUGUUUUUAUUUUUUACCUUAACAUUUUUUUGUUUACAGUCAUUAUUCAGGUUGUGUAUUUUAGCUUAAAUGUACGGGUUUUUUUUUUAAACAAAGCAGCUGAUAUUUGCCAUAGCAACAGCAAGAAGCUAGUGGACUGCCGAGUCGCGUUCACUCCAAAAUGGCGGAAGCGUAGGGCUGCUGCUGGGCGCCGCUGUUGCAAUGGAACAUUCUAUUGGCUUUCACUUCCUGUCAAUAUAAGUUCUUUGGUUGGGACUCGUCUACUUGCACAGCUACUUCCGCGUUCUAUUUGUUAUGGCUCGGGAGUCUCCGGUUAGCGUUCAGCGCACCUACAUACAGACAGUUUUUCAUGAGAACGCAGAUUAUUACUACACUUCAGAGCUGGAAUUUCUUUAAAAAAAACAA